GACGAACGCUGGCGGCGUGCCUAAUACAUGCAAGUUGAGCGCUGAAGGUUGGUACUUGUACCAACUGGAUGAGCAGCGAACGGGUGAGUAACGCGUGGGGAAUCUGCCUUUGAGCGGGGGACAACAUUUGGAAACGAAUGCUAAUACCGCAAAAAAACUUUAAACACAAGUUUUAAGUUUGAAAGAUGCAAUUGCAUCACUCAAAGAUGAUCCCGCGUUGUAUUAGCUAGUUGGUGAGGUAAAGGCUCACCAAGGCGAUGAUACAUAGCCGACCUGGGAGGGUGAUCGGCCACAUUGGGACUGAGACACGGCCCAAACUCCUACGGGAGGCAGCAGUAGGGAAUCUUCGGCAAUGGACGAAAGUCUGACCGAGCAACGCCGCGUGAGUGAAGAAGGUUUUCGGAUCGUAAAACUCUGUUGGUAGAGAAGAACGUUGGUGAGAGUGGAAAGCUCAUCAAGUGACGGUAACUACCCAGAAAGGGACGGCUAACUACGUG
rnacentral:rRNA from 1 species